CACGUAGGGCGCAAGCGUUGUCCGGAAUUAUUGGGCGUAAAGAGCUCGUAGGCGGUCUGUUGCGUCCGCUGUGAAAACUCGGGGCUUAACCCCCGAGCCUGCAGUGGAUACGGGCAGACUAGAGGUAGGUAGGGGAGAAUGGAAUUCCCGGUGUAGCGGUGAAAUGCGCAGAUAUCGGGAGGAACACCGGUGGCGAAGGCGGUUCUCUGGGCCUGACCUGACGCUGAGGCGCGGAAAGCGUGGGGAGCAAACAGG
rnacentral:rRNA from 1 species